GACGAACGCUGGCGGCGUGCUUAACACAUGCAAGUCGAACGGAAAGGCCCUGCUUUUGUGGGGUGCUCGAGUGGCGAACGGGUGAGUAACACGUGAGUAACCUGCCCUUGACUUUGGGAUAACUUCAGGAAACUGGGGCUAAUACAGGAUAGGAGCUCCUGCUGCAUGGUGGGGGUUGGAAAGUUUCGGCGGUUGGGGAUGGACUCGCGGCUUAUCAGCUUGUUGGUGGGGUAGUGGCUUACCAAGGCUUUGACGGGUAGCCGGCCUGAGAGGGUGACCGGCCACAUUGGGACUGAGAUACGGCCCAGACUCCUACGGGAGGCAGCAGUGGGGAAUAUUGCACAAUGGGCGGAAGCCUGAUGCAGCAACGCUGCGUGCGGGAUGACGGCCUUCGGGUUGUAAACCGCUUUCGCCUGUGACGAAGCGUGAGUGACGGUAAUGGGUAAAGAAGCACCGGCUAACUACGUG
rnacentral:rRNA from 1 species